rnacentral:lncRNA from 1 species
AAAAAUUAUGUCAAAUUAUAAAAUUUACAUUUAUUUUUGUUAAAAUAUAACAAUAUUUAUGUUGUUAUUUAACAUAUGCUUAAUAUGUUAAAUUAACACAAAGAUUUGAGUAGAUGACUUGGGUGAACUGUGUUAAAUUUAAUAAUUUAAUAAAUUUAAUAACAUUUUUUACUGUGUAUAUAAUAUUACCUUUACAUUUUUUUAACAUUGCGAAAACAUUAAAAUAACAUUGUGAGAAUGUUAAAAUAACAUUAUUACAAUGUAAGAAAAAAAUUAAAUUUACGUUUCUCAACAAGCACGGUUUCUCAACAAACCCGCCAUAGUCGCAUUUGGUAUUGCCUAACUUCUUGACAUAGUUACUUCUCAACAAAGUACGCACCGUACCUUUGCACACUUCUGCCCAGGACACCCCUACCGGCAGGGUAAGUGUGGAGAGGGGGCAAAGGCUCCUCUUGCACCCCUCCCCGUGCGUGCGUGCGUGCAUGUGUGGCCACAGCGAAGAAGUGUCGUAUCAUAUUUAUUAAAUUUUUUUGUUAAUAACUUUUAUAUAUAACUCAAAAACUAAAAUCGAACGGCGGUAAGAUGUAUUUGGAAAAGUUGUUCAGAAUAAUGACCCUGACAACAUAUUUGAAGGUAAUCAAAAUCGGUCAGAAAUCGCUAAUGUAAAUAAUUACCAUAUAUUUAAUUAUGUAAUUUUGUUACUUGUAACUUCUUAAGAAAGACUUGCCCAUCUCUAAAAGCAUUUCUACAUUUUAUUUUUAUGAUAGUUUUGUUAAUUGGUACUUAUAAAAAAAUUGAUUUUUCGCUCCAGUAACUAUUAUAGACAUUUACCAUUUUAAGAAUAUUUAUAAAAUUAUGUUAUAACGUUUAAUAACAUUUCAAACACACGUGCCUCAUGUUUUUAGAAUAUUUUUAUAAUACUAGGACAAUAAAUUUUUUGUUAGGACAACAAAAAAACAAAAAAGAAUUAUUCUAUAAACAACGGUAACGAUGUGAAAUUGGAUGAUAAGAGCUCAAAUAAAAACAAAAAAUUUUUCGUAUUGCCCUAAAAAAUAUCUCAGAAAUUGCUGACGAACAAAAAUCUUUUUACUGUUGGCUAUAGAUGCGUUAACAAAUUAGACACAUGGAUUAAAGUACAGAAGGCUAAAACAGAUCACAAUCUAAAAAACAAUAUUGUAUACAAAAUAUCUUGCUGUGAAUGCGAUACGUCAUACGUCGGACAAACAAAAAGAAAACUAAACACUAGAAUUAAAGAACAUACCAACAAUUUCAAGUCUGAAUCAUCGCGACACUCAGUGAUUACCAAACAUAUAAUCGAUACACGUCACACAUUUGACUGGAAAAAUACAAAGAUUCUGGAUCAUGAACCCAAUUACUAUAAGAGAUUAAUCUCGAAAAUAAUUCAUAUAAAAGAACAAAAAAACGGUAUAAACUUGCAAAAUGACACUGAGUCUCUUGAUAAUUCCUAUUCUUGCUUAAUCCAUUGUCUUGCUAAUAUAAACAUAUAACAUAUACACACACCUUAUUCGGUGUCAAGAGUUCACUCUCCUUUUGACUGUCGUUCCCUGUACACGCAUUAUAUAAUUGACGAUACAAUUUUUCAAAAUUUGGGGCUUUCUAUUCUUUUUACCAAUUAACUAAAGCACACGUAAGUCUCUUACAAAAGUUUCUUUCCAUUUUUUAUAUUAUUAUCAACAUUGUAUAUAUAUUUCUUCCUUUUUAUUUUUAUUUAACUAACCACUCAUUCAAUUUUAUUACCUUUUUAUCUUAUUUUACUUGUUUAGUUAUUUAUUUAUUUUAUUUUUCUUUCUCUCUUUUUGUUGAACAGUUUUGUUGAACUUCCACAAGUUGCGCUUUUACAAGUCUCUGAUUAACACUAUCGGAUCUAUUUUACAUAUUUUCUUUGCUUAAGAACAAAGAAUAAUUUCGUUUCUAAAAGCAUCCUAGAAUCUCAUACAUGUAAGUGGUUUUCAUAUAACAAUUUUCAACUCUCAAUUAUUAAUUCCUUGUUGACACAUCGCUUUUUGUUUUUAAUCCUAUAGUUUUUUCAACAAUUCUAAUUUACUUGACGCCCCGUUUCUACUUAGCAUCGAACUCCUCACACGUUAUUGUUUACACAAGGAACGUUACUUCAGACUCAAGGUUUAUGAACCUAACGAUAGAUUUGAUCUUUCUACAAUCGGACUUAACUUAUUUUAUAAAUUAACAUACCAUUGUAUUUGACUUCCAAUUUAUAUGUCAUUUUACAAUUUUAAAAUACUUCUUAUUGCGUUAUUUAUCUUUUUUAAUUGAUGUUACCCGUGCGCUUUUUGCAGAUCUGUUCUUUCGUUCUUUUGUCUGUAUUUACGUUUUAUUGUUUAAUUUUAUUAUACCCUAUGCGAUUGAAAAGGACUAAGUAAAGUCGAAACGUUUCGCCGCUUUCAAUAAUUUUUUAAUAUAUUAAUUUUACACCUAUUUUGUCAUUUACGUGCGUAAUAAUAAAGAUUAAAUUUUGUAUCUCCACCUUAUAUUAGCUCGAUCAUUGACCUUCUUGCAAUACCAUUUGCUUUUUCAUUGUAUGUUCUUAUCUUUUAUACAAAACAUAAUAAUUAAAAUAAGAUUGUAAACAAUAUUUUCAUGAUUUAAUUCGAUUUAACUUGAUUCAAUUUGUUUCGAUUCGAAUAAAAAUUCAUCGAUUCAAUUAGAUUCGCUUUGACAUCAAAAAUUUUUGAUUCAUACAUCUCUAAUACUUAACCCAACCUUAUAAUUUUUAAUGAUCUGACAACGCGCAGGGAUGAUCAUACUGCACCGUUAUUUAGGCUUAGCAAACCUACGCGGACUUGAGCUCAUCACAAUGUGGACAAUUAUAUACACAUAAACAAUACAUACACUCACCUACAAUUGACCCAUCUACAUACAGGGUGUCUCGCAUAAGGUAUGAAAUACUUCAUGGAAAGAUAGACGGAAUCAAGACACCCUGUAUAUACAACACAUAUACCUAUCUAGAUUAUCAUAUCAGUAUAGUAAAACCAGUGGAAGAGUUAACGAGAGUAGGCCUAAAGUUACAAGUGUCAUAUAUCUAUAGAAAAUCUGACAUAUUAAACUAAAAAAAAAAAUCUGACAGUAAAAUAACAGCCGACCAUGUCAUAUGUACGGUAUCAAGUAAGGCAUUACGCUCUGUCUAUUGUGCCAUAUUUAUACGCGCUCCGACGUAGUUCUUUUGUUGGACAGAGUAUAUUUUACAAAAUUUGUUUAAAUACACAAUUUGUUUAGGUCUCAUGCUUCAACAUACUCCUAUUUGCCCCAAUGUGCUUGUUAACCGAUCACAUUAAUCAGUUGGUGCGUUGGAGCAAAUAGGAGUAUGUUAGAGCAUAUAACGCAAACAAACUUAGUGUCAAUUUAGAACGAUGUCCUCUAUUGUUACUUUUUUAUAUUUAAAAACUCGCGAGUUAUAUGAAAAUGUUCAUAAAAUGCUUGUGGAUAUCAUAUUUAUUACUAAUAAUUAUCAAUUAUCAAUAUUUUACAUAAUAAAAAAAAAA